rnacentral:lncRNA from 1 species
CAGGUUCUAAUUUUCGUCCAUCCAUUUGUUUGGUCGGAUAGUGGAAAGUUUCUUCCACCUAGACUUUAUAUAUAGUCUGUGCUUAUACGAGUUAGAAUAGCUCUUGUCUAGCGGGAUACAGAGUCCAAUUCCAAAACAUAUUAGGUCGCGUAGGUGAUCGGGACUCAUAAGCCUUCCUAAGCCUGCCACACCCACAAAUUCUAUAGUAUAGGCUAGCAAAAUAUGCUCGUGCAUUGCACGAGAGAAAAACUAUUGUAUAUUUAGCUGGUCAACGAGGAGCAAAGAAAAGAGGUUGCCUGCGCGUUCUAAUAUGAGAUUCUGGUGGGCAGCUGCUCCGUGCCAGCGAGUGGUUUGGCGGACUUCAUGCAGAGUCCAUGGUGGUGUAUGCCACAAUGCACAACAUAUGAUGAGUCCCAGUCCUCGAUUUGAAGAGCAUAAACAGAAUAAAGUUGCUGGUAAGAGACCAUGCAGAGCAGAGGUGUAGCGAAGUCGCUGGCG